rnacentral:snRNA from 1 species
GGAUGUGAGAACGAUCUAGCUGCGACAUCAGUCACCCCACUGGUGGCCUGGGUUGGUUCUGCUGAUCUGGCUGGCUAGGUAGGUGUCCCCUUCCUCCCUCACUGCUCCAUGUGCUUCCUUCCUGCUCUCUGGGUCUAAGAGGAGUCCUUCCCGAAUAGAGGUAACUGGUCUUCCGUUGAGGGUAUAUGGAGUAGCUGCGCUCCCCUGCUAGAACCUCCAAACAAGCUCUCAAACUGUAUCUUAAAUACACACUUUUUAAAAAUAGAGAAGUAGAGAGAGAAAGAAUAAAGAGACUACAUCACUAGUACUUCCUUCAAUGUGGUGGAGGUUAGGCUGG